rnacentral:rRNA from 1 species
GAUGAACGCUAGCGGCAGGCCUAACACAUGCAAGUCGAGGGGUAGAAGCUUUCGGGCUUUGAGACCGGCGCACGGGUGCGUAACGCGUAUGCAAUCUGCCUUGUACUGAGGGAUAGCCCAGAGAAAUUUGGAUUAACACCUCAUAGUAUUUUUGCCUGGCAUCAGGUGAUUAUUAAAGGUUACGGUACAAGAUGAGCAUGCGUCCCAUUAGCUAGUUGGUAUGGUAACGGCAUACCAAGGCUACGAUGGGUAGGGGUCCUGAGAGGGAGAUCCCCCACACGGGUACUGAGACACGGACCAGACUCCUACGGGAGGCAGCAGUGAGGAAUAUUGGUCAAUGGGCGCAAGCCUGAACCAGCCAUGCCGCGUGCAGGAUGAAGCAUCUAUGGUGUGUAAACUGCUUUUGUACGGGAAGAAACACUGCUACGUGUAGCAGCUUGACGGUACCGUAAGAAUAAGGAUCGGCUAACUCCGUGCCAGCCGCCGCUGUAAGAC